rnacentral:lncRNA from 1 species
AAAAAAUCCCCUAGCCCAGUUUUUGGGCAGAUGCCAGACUUUUAUUCUGAAGCGUGGGCCACAACCUAUGAGGUAAUCUUUGGAGCUUCAUUCUGAGGCGGAAUCCCAUUGGCCAGUUGGGGAAGCCCCUCCCAGGAUUCCUGGCGCUCCGCCUUCCCUGAAGCCUAUAAAAGCGCAGGUCCCCGCCUCGGCAGCCACGGGACACCUGCAUCUGCCAACAAGACUGGAAGCAGAAAGGGACAGAGACGGCGAAGUUUGACGGUCUGGAAAGCAGAGACCAGCAGGGCUGACUGCUUGGGAGCACCAAAUAUCCGGACAGCGCCUCUCGGGAGGUCCGAGAAGAGAACCGCGAUCUGUUUCAGCACCGGGGCUCAGGACAGUUCCCAGCGGGCUCCGUUUCGUCUCCAGAACCCUGGACAGCUCCUCCAGCCUCCCAAAGUGCUAGGAUUACAGGCGUGAGUCACUGCGCCUGGCCCAAGUCCGGAAUUUUCAACAGCUUGGAAUGCACUCCCUCCACCUCCAACCAGAGCUCCCCACAACUGACCCUGCCUUCUUCUGCAAGCUCCAUUUCAUCAAGGGAAACGAUCCUUAUUGCCUCACCAUUUCCCACGUGAAGUCUGUAUUGACAUUCUCAUAGACCUGGGAUAUUGUGUCUGCAGCACAUAGUCCAAUUAUUUUCAUGUUAUCUACUGACAGGUCUAUUUGUCUCCCUGUUACACUGUGAGCUCCGUGAGGGCAGAAACAAUGUUAGUAUUUUCACUGCUGUGUCCCCAGCGCCUGGUCCGGGGCCCGGCACACAGCAGGCAUAUAAUAAGCAUGUGUUGAAUCAAUAAAGGCAUCAAAGAAUAAACCAAUACAUCAAUCAAUAAAUGAAUGAAUGGCCUCAGCACACACAGGAAGAUCCUUCUUCUAGGUCUCCCCCAGAGAGAUACUGGAGGGCAAUGGUUGCUGGAGGUGUUUAUUGGGGAAGCAUAAUUGAAUUUGUGGACACUUAAGGGCCGGCCAGCCAACUCACAGCCCCAAGAGAGAGAGCCAGGCUCAUUUAAUUAGCAAUUACAAGGCACUGAUUCCUCAUUAGCUCUGGCAACCCUCGUCUCCCUCCUCAGCCCCAGACAAAUGAAAUCUUUCUCUCUCUCCCAGGAGUACUGCCUCAGUGGGUCCAUUAACAAGCAGAGAAAAUGAGAUUAGAAGACACCUAAAUGCCAGAGGCACUUUAUGAAUGGGCUGAGCAGAGGGAGGUUCAAUGUCUGGGUUAGGUCUAAUUGUGGGAGGUUUCCUGGUCUAUUUAGAAUUGCCCCCUGGGAAUGCAAGGUCUUUCAGAAAGGAAAAGGCACACAGAUAUUGCCUUCUGGGGUCCUCAAUGGAGGAGGACAUUCUGCUAUGGGUGUCUCCCAGUCACCCCAAAUUAAUCAUUUCAAAGUGAACACUCAAUCUGCCCAGCCCCUAGCUUCCUCCCCUGACAUGCCCAUGAAUAUGACAGUCCCUCUACAUGCCCAAGAUCCUCCCCUCCUCAUCCACUCCCCAUGAUCCCCAAGAUGAGUCACUGUGCUCAAAUCCAUCCUCUCUCCUCCAGCCCUCUGCCUCCAUGACCUCCCUCCAGCCCUCUGCCUCCAUGACCUCCGCCUCCCUGCAUGUCCGGAUCUCCUCACUGUCUCCCCUCUGAGCAUACACACACAUACAGCCUGUUCAUUCUCUACAUGCAGCGAGGGGACUUUCCAGAACACACAUCUGACCAAGUUCCACUCCUGCCUGUCACCCUUCCAAGAGCCCCACUGACUGCAGAAUAACGUUCAAAUAUCCGGUUGGGCGUGGUGGCUCAUGCCUGCAGUCCCAGCACUUUGGGAGGCCAAGGUGGGUGGAUCACUUGCACAGGACCACAGGCGUGUGCCACCACACCCAGCUAAUUUUUAUAUUUUUGGUAGAGACGGAGUUUCACCAUGUUGGCCAGGCUGACCUCAAGUGAUCCACCCGCCUCAACCUCCCAAAGUGCUGGGAUUACAGGCAUGAGUCACUGCACCGGUCUAAUUUUUUCAGAGUCUCACUCUUGCCCAGGCUGGAGUGCAGUAGCAUGAUCUCGGUUCACUGCAACCUCUGCCUCCUGGUUUCAAGCGAUUCUCUUGGCUCAGCCUCCUGAGCAGCUGGGAUUACAGGCACGUGCCACCACACUUAGCUAAUUUUUGUAUUUUUAGUAGAGAUGGGGGUCUCACCAUGCUGGCACAGUUGGUCUUGAACUCCUGACCUCAAGUGAUCCACCCACCUCGGCUUCCCAAAGUGCUGGGAUUACAGACGUGAGCCACCGCGCCCGGCCAGCCUUUAUUGAUUCUUUUUAAAGCCACACUAACCUUUUAUUUUCCCCCAAAGACCCCUGGGAGCCCUCAGUUUUUCCUGGCAGUUUCAUCUUUGUACCCCUGACCUCCCCACACACACGCCUAGCUCAGUGCUGGCAUCCAAUAUUCACUUUGGGUAUAAAUGCUUGUGCCUGAGCCUAUCACCUUCAUCACACAGAAAAUCCUGGAGGCCACACACCCCUGUAAAGACGAGCCAUUACCCACAGAGGUCCAACCAACUUACCACCCUCUCCCAGCCACCCCCAAGGACCCAGCUUGCAGCUGCCUGCUCAAUGGCUUUAGAAACUAAAAAAGGUGAAUGAGUUUCCAUCACUGCCCUCCUGGGCUUUGCCGUUAUGGCUGGUUAACUUGACAGAAGAACACAUUAUACUUCAUUUUUUGCUGUUGUCUUGUUGGAAAAAAAAGUGACAGCUGGGUGCAGUGGUGCACACUGUAGUCACAGCUACUCAGGAGAAUUGCUUGAGCACAGGAAUUGGAGGCUACACUGAGCAAUGAUCGCCUCACUGCACUCCAGCCUGAACGACAGAGCAAGACCCUCUUAAAAAAUACGUGAGAGAGGGUGCGUAUGAUGGCUCAUGCCUGUAAUCCCAGCAGUUUG